UUGAUGGGUGAACUGAUCAAAUAUACUGUGCGUAGAAGCGAAGUAUACAAAUACAAAGACCCAAAGGUUCGCAUCUUCUUCUUCUUCGCGCUUCUCCACUGGGCUUUCUCCUCCACAGCUUCUCCUCCUUCUCCUUGGCGCUUCUACUCAUACGAGCACCAGACCCAAAAAAAUCGAGUUUUGGGUUUUCUUUUUUGGCUGCAGAUGUAAGUGUAGAGUGGCCGGAAGAUAAAAGUAAAAUGCAACAGAAUUUGAUUUGGGGAUGGUUUUUCAUCGCAUCCGGCUCUGUUUUCUUUCUGGGUUUUCUCUAUGCUACCGUCUUAUCCAAGCUUCUUCCACCUUCAGAUAAUAUUAUCCUGUCCGCCAUACAAAAUGACCGGUAUUAUUGCUUUUUGGUGCCCUUGACUCUCCCGGUCCUUGUGGUUGCUGUAUACUUUCAUUGGCUUAGCAUGAAACUGUUCAAACAUGCAUGAUUUUUCUAAGCCAAUCAGGUAUGUUCGAAAGCAAUGGAAUAUUUUAUGCUUGUAUGAGUUCAGAGUUAGAUAAGUGAGGCUACUUUCUUCCUUCCGAGGUUAUGCUCAAGAAGGCAGAAUACCAGCACUCACUGUGUUUGGCCAAAACACUGAGGAAUGUGAUUAUGUACCACUGCUAUGGUACAUAAUCACAUUUAUGGGCUCUAGAUUUUCAUUUAAGAAUUUCUUGAAAAGUCUUUUUAAUAAUUCUUUUCUUUCUUGUUCAUAAGUUUAAUUAUUUUUUUUCCUCCCUGAAAUGUUUCCAUUCAAGAUCAUGAAUUCUUAUUGGCAAAUGCUGUAAACAUAGGAAUCGCAGUGAGUCUUUUCCAUGAAGUAUUCAACUUACAAGAAUCAUUUUUAGUUUUUUAUAGUGUGGACAUUUUUUGUUUAUCUUAAAAUUUUUCCUCGAAUACAAAAUGGACGGUUGCGCUUUCAUAGGAAAAUAGAAAGGCUCGCCAAUGGCCCUUGUAUUUUGGGUCAAGUUUCAUCAAGGCCUUGUGAUUUUACCGAAUUUGCCACUAUAAAAUGGAUAUGUUGCAAUUCGACA